rnacentral:rRNA from 1 species
CCUGGCUCAGGAUGAACGCUGGCGGCGUGCCUAAUACAUGCAAGUCGAACGCUUUGUGGUUCAACUGAUUUGAAGAGCUUGCUCAGAUAUGACGAUGGACAUUGCAAAGAGUGGCGAACGGGUGAGUAACACGUGGGAAACCUACCUCUUAGCAGGGGAUAACAUUUGGAAACAGAUGCUAAUACCGUAUAACAAUGACAACCGCAUGGUUGUUAUUUAAAAGAUGGUUCUGCUAUCACUAAGAGAUGGUCCCGCGGUGCAUUAGCUAGUUGGUAAGGUAAUGGCUUACCAAGGCGAUGAUGCAUAGCCGAGUUGAGAGACUGAUCGGCCACAAUGGGACUGAGACACGGCCCAUACUCCUACGGGAGGCAGCAGUAGGGAAUCUUCCACAAUGGGCGAAAGCCUGAUGGAGCAACGCCGCGUGUGUGAUGAAGGGUUUCGGCUCGUAAAACACUGUUGUAAGAGAAGAAUGACAUUGAGAGUAACUGUUCAAUGUGUGACGGUAUCUUACCAGAAAGGAACGGCUAAAUACGUGCCAGCAGCCGCGGUAAUACGUAUGUUCCAAGCGUUAUCCGGAUUUAUUGGGCGUAAAGCGAGCGCAGACGGUUAUUUAAGUCUGAAGUGAAAGCCCUCAGCUCAACUGAGGAAUUGCUUUGGAAACUGGAUGACUUGAGUGCAGUAGAGGAAAGUGGAACUCCAUGUGUAGCGGUGAAAUGCGUAGAUAUAUGGAAGAACACCAGUGGCGAAGGCGGCUUUCUGGACUGUAACUGACGUUGAGGCUCGAAAGUGUGGGUAGCAAACAGGAUUAGAUACCCUGGUAGUCCACACCGUAAACGAUGAGUGCUAGGUGUUUGAGGGUUUCCGCCCUUAAGUGCCGCAGCUAACGCAUUAAGCACUCCGCCUGGGGAGUACGACCGCAAGGUUGAAACUCAAAGGAAUUGACGGGGACCCGCACAAGCGGUGGAGCAUGUGGUUUAAUUCGAAGCAACGCGAAGAACCUUACCAGGUCUUGACAUCCCUUGACAACUCCAGAGAUGGAGCGUUCCCUUCGGGGACAAGGUGACAGGUGGUGCAUGGUUGUCGUCAGCUCGUGUCGUGAGAUGUUGGGUUAAGUCCCGCAACGAGCGCAACCCUUAUUACUAGUUGCCAGCAUUYAGUUGGGCACUCUAGUGAGACUGCCGGUGACAAACCGGAGGAAGGUGGGGAUGACGUCAAAUCAUCAUGCCCCUUAUGACCUGGGCUACACACGUGCUACAAUGGCGUAUACAACGAGUUGCCAACCCGCGAGGGUGAGCUAAUCUCUUAAAGUACGUCUCAGUUCGGAUUGUAGGCUGCAACUCGCCUACAUGAAGUCGGAAUCGCUAGUAAUCGCGGAUCAGCACGYCGCGGUGAAUACGUUCCCGGGUCUUGUACACACCGCCCGUCACACCAUGAGAGUUUGUAACACCCAAAGCCGGUGGGGUAACCUUCGGGAGCCAGCCGUCUAAGGUGGGACAGAUGAUUAGGGUGAAGUCGU